CCUACGGGAGGCUGCAGUAGGGAAUCUUCCACAAUGGGCGAAAGCCUGAUGGAGCAACGCCGCGUGGGUGAAGAAGGUCUUCGGAUCGUAAAACCCUGUUGUGAGAGAAGAGAGUGCGUGAGAGUAACUGUUCACGUUUCGACGGUAUCUAACCAGAAAGCCACGGCUAACUACGUGCCAGCAGCCGCGGUAAUACGUAGGUGGCAAGCGUUAUCCGGAUUUAUUGGGCGUAAAGGGAACGCAGGCGGGCUUUUAAGUCUGAUGUGAAAGCCUUCGGCUUAACCGGAGUAGUGCAUUGGAAACUGGGAGACUUGAGUGCAGAAGAGGAGAGCGGAACUCCAUGUGUAGCGGUGAAAUGCGUAGAUAUAUGGAAGAACACCAGUGGCGAAGGCGGAUCACUGGUCUGUAACUGACGCUGAGGUUCGAAAGCGUGGGUAGCAAACAGGAUUAGAUACCCCAGUAGUC
rnacentral:rRNA from 1 species